GAAAUGCGAUAAGUAAUGUGAAUUGCAGAAUUCAGUGAAUCAUCGAGUCUUUGAACGCACAUUGCGCCCCCUGGCAUUCCGGGGGGCAUGCCUGUCCGAGCGUCAUUUCAACCAUCAAGCCCCCGGGCUUGUGUUGGGGACCUGCGGCUGCCCGCAGGCCCUGAAAACCAGUGGCGGGCUCGCUGUCACUCCGAGCGUAGUAGUAUCACCUCGCUCAGGGCGUGCUGCGGGUUCCGGCCGUUAAACCACCCAUUACCCCAAGGUUGACCUCGGAUCAGGUAGGAAUACCCGCUGAACUUAA
rnacentral:misc_RNA from 1 species